rnacentral:rRNA from 1 species
AGCGAACGCUGGCGGCAGGCCUAACACAUGCAAGUCGAACGAACUCUUCGGAGUUAGUGGCGGACGGGUGAGUAACACGUGGGAACGUGCCUUUUGGUUCGGAAUAACUCAGGGAAACUUGUGCUAAUACCGAAUGUGCCCUUCGGGGGAAAGAUUUAUCGCCAUUAGAGCGGCCCGCGUCUGAUUAGCUAGUUGGUGAGGUAACGGCUCACCAAGGCGGCGAUCAGUAGCUGGUCUGAGAGGAUGACCAGCCACACUGGGACUGAGACACGGCCCAGACUCCUACGGGAGGCAGCAGUGGGGAAUCUUGCGCAAUGGGCGAAAGCCUGACGCAGCCAUGCCGCGUGAAUGAUGAAGGUCUUAGGAUUGUAAAAUUCUUUCACCGGGGACGAUAAUGACGGUACCCGGAGAAGAAGCCCCGGCUAACUUCGUG